GGCUCUGCGCGGCGUCAUUUUCCUUCCUCCCCUGGAAAGCAAGGAGCAUAUAGUACUAACUACACUAUAGUACCGUUGGCUAGUUAUUACUUUUUACAAAUGUUAAUAUCUAUUAAUUUUAUGUACAGAUUUUGAGAAAAUCUACCCUGUAUGGUUUUUUACUACAGUGGUACCUCGGGUUACAUACGCUUCAGGUUACAGCCUCCGCUAACCCAGAAAUAGGACCUCGGGUUAAGAACUUUGCUUCAGGAUGAGAACAAAAAUCGUGCUCCAGCGGCGUGGCAGCAGCAGGAGGCCCCAUUAGCUAAAGUGGUGCUUCAGGUGAAGAACAGUUUCAGGUUAAGAACGGAUCUCCAGAACAAAUUAAGUACUUAACCUGAGGUACCACUGUAAUGCCACUGUUCUGUCCCGCAGAGCAAGAGGAGGGCUCCCAGGGUUCGGGAUGCUCAGGUUCCCAAAGAAAACUGUCCACACUACCAGGUUGAUCAGGGCAUAGUAGUUUAUUUAAAGGAAAAGCAAACUCACAACAAAAGGUCUGAAGGCUCCCUUCUUGCCCCUGCUUCCAGCACAUUGUGGGACAGACUCCACAGCAAGGAAAUGGCUUGUCUGCAAGCAGGCGCUGGAGCAAAUGCUUUUUAUACAGUAGAGCAGCCCACAGGUAGCCAUGAUCUCCACCGCACCCAAGGUUCCCUACAGGCAGCUGAUAUUGCUCCAAUUAGGCCUGGAACAUAGUAUCGCACACCCAUGGAUGGUGGUAACUGCCUUCCUUGAGCAGGUCAAUUAGCCUGCUUCCCAAGUGUGUUGCACGAAAGCUUAGCACUACAGCUGCCACUAGUUGUGAGGUUAUCUUGAGUAUUUAGCUAGUGCUAGCAAAGCUCAUGGAACAACUUACCUAUGGUUUAACACAGCCAUUGCUGUGAACCAAAGUAUGUUUAUGAAGUAAGUAAACCUUGUUUUCAACUUACUUAACAAGUUGUUACCUGAUUCCUUCUUAAUGGGGGUGAGAAGGAGGAAGCCAGUUUACUUCAUAACUGGACUUGCUCAAAACAAGGUUUUACAUCCUACUUCCUAUGCUUUUAAUUCUGCUGCCCUUUAGGCUGGCAAAUCCUCUGCAUGAUUACUUGGGAGAAAGUCCUCAUUACACACAGAGAGAAUAUCCCAUUAGUUGGAUAGAUAUACAUAAGGCGCUUUUCAUUUCAAGGUGAACAGGUGUGCAGAAUGGUGGAAAUGUGGUCGGAGUUACACUAGGUCAUUCCCCACCCCGCCUGCAUAUUUAGGGUUUUCAACACAAAGCCUCUUCAGAAAUAUCUUUAUUUAUGUUGAAAUAAUUUGUUUCAGAAUAUGCCCAAAUGCCUCACCUUCUGCUGUAGAUGUUACCACACCAGAGAAUUUAUUAUGGCAGAAGCUUUUAUGAACAAGCGUCUGCUUUGUCAGAUGCAUGAAGUGUUAUCCGAAGUUACCUGAGUGAGGAUAUUCCUAUUUUCGUUGGAGAAAUGUUGGAGCAUAUGGAGUUACGUGAUCCCCAAGCCAAGGAAAUAAGUAACUAUACAACCUUUAGAAGACAUCUGAAGGGAAGGGGGUUUUUUGGCUUUCGAGGUUGAGCAAAGUUUUGUCCCACUUGGGGAGAAGGAAUAAGGUCUCACCUCUCCUGGAGAACAUGGGGAAAAAGACAUGAGAAAACUUAGUCAUGUCACUUAAGAGGAGCAGGGUUUGUGGUUGCUAGUUUUCUCAGGGCCCAGGGUUGCUGGGUCGCGAGGUUCAUUGUGACAUCUCCCUCUGCUAGCUCAUUGGUCGCCAGAGCUCUAGAAGGCCUGGGGAUCUCCUAUGCUUGGAUCAUUCCGAGAGAGAGAGAGAAAGGAGAAGACAUGCUUUCCAGACUGAGAAGUCCUUUCCCACUUGGGAAAAAAGAAUAAAAAAAAUUCCUCUCCCAGAGACCUCCCCCUCGCCCACCGCCUCCCCCUCCCCCACUGGACCCCUCUUUGAGAGGACACAGAAGGCUCUGCAGACCUCCUGCCAUCCUGGUCUGGAAGAAGAUGGCAGGAGGAAGAAAUGCCAAGGAAAACAUGAAGGUAAUGUCUGUUUCCAAGGAUAUGUUCAGAGUAAAUAGGAAACUCCCUAGAAAUCAGUUAUACUUGCUUGCCUUCUCUUCUUUGCCAUUGAGAUGAUAUAAUAGUUGAAGACCUGGAGGGAGAGCAGGGGCUUUGAAGUUCUCCAUCAUCUGUGCAGCAGACCGAGAAGACAAACAGGUCACCUAGUCACAGUCAUCCCUGCUAUGGGCACAGGACUUUGGUUAUAACAUCAAUAUGGAACAGUGGGAAAGGUUAUGGCAGCAAGAUAUCAAAUUUACAUCGUGUUAUAAUUUGAGGGAAAAUACCAUGAAGGUGCUCUACCGAUGGCAUCAUACCCCAGCUAAACUCACCAAAAUGUAUAAAGGAAGCUCACCAAUAUGUUGGCGUUGCAAAAAGGAGAUAGGAUCAUAUUACCAUAUGUGGUGGACUUGUAUGGUGAUAAGCGAGUUUUGGAAUAACAUUUAUGAUGAAUUAAAAAAACUAUUUAAACUUAAAGAAAAGACCGGAGAUUUUCCUUCUAGGAAUAUUACCAACAGAAAUAAAGCAAAACAAAAGACCACUGUUUAUGUACUCAAUUACAGCUGCAAGAAUACUCGUAGCCAGAAGUUGGAAAUGUGAAACAAUACCAACAAUAAUAGACUGGCAAACACGCAUGGUAGAGUAUUUUCACUUAGCAAAGCUGACUAGAAAAGUUAGGGGAGCCCUAAAUCAAAAAGUAUAGAGAGAAUGGAUAUUAUUCAAGGAGUAUAUAAGAUCACACUGUAAAAAUGAAAUUAUCCUGGCAGAAUUGAAUGAUACUUGUGUAUAAUAAAUAAUUGGAAAAAUAUAUUAGAAAAAUAUGCAGAAAAAGCUAUAAAAUAAACUGUGAUAAAAUUAAGAUACUAGAAAAAGUACAACGAGAAUGAUUGGAAGUUUUUGUUCUAGAAGAACAAAACUUUAUUGGUCAAGAUAUGAUAAUACAACCGAUAUUCUUUUAUUUUAAUGUUAAUUCUUCUUUGUUUUUUAUUUAUAUUCUUGUUACUCCUUUUUCAUUUUUGUGUGAAAUUCUGUUGUAAUUAUUUGUAAUGUAUUUGUAUGAUAGUAUUUUAAAUCAAUAAAAUAAAAACAAAAAAACAAAGUCAUCCCUGCUAGGAUGAGAGACAUCCCUGCUAUCUCUUCCAACAGAAACAAUUAGCCAGAGCCAAAGAAUGGCAGUAGGGAUGAUAAUUUAGGUAAACCAAUUUCCUCUCAUGUUCUCCUUCAUAGUAAAGUUUCGGGGUGAGGAGCCAUGGAACUCCUUGGAACUUGCGGAAGGGCUGUACCUUGGUGGUAGGCAGUCUGAUUGACAUACAGAAAGCAGACUGAUGGAAAGGGACGGAGCACCUGCCCCUUCUCAAGUGGGCUGCAAGAGGAAGGAUGCUCCCUCCUUUCCAACCAGCAUAGAAACACUGCUCUCCACCUUUCCACUGCCAGCCCCUGACAGGCUAGUAAGACUUUUUGCAGGCUUGUAACUUUUGUGGGUUAUUCACAGUGCUGUGUUCAUAUUUGGUUCAAUUGUCAUUUGUGUUGGUGACUAACUUUCCCCAUUGCUGGAUGCUAUGCAGGCUUGAGGCCAUCUUUUGGCAGAUCUGCCCUCAUGCUGCCGU